CUAUACGAUGAAUAUUAUACAGUCAACCUCUUUCCGGUAUCGAAUCCCGCCGGGGACGACCUUCCCUUCGAGUGCUGACCCCAGGCGGCGGAAGCCUCUGCGUCGGGGUCCCAAGGCCCUGGCGUCGGACCUGGGCCACCUCGUCUAUUAAUUUUCCAGCUCCAUCCUGUGCGGAGGGCUCCUGAAAGCACGCGGAGCGGUCUCCCUGGCUCCAGAGCCCCUGGCUGCAGGCAUGGGUGCUCGGGGGGCGGGGGGGCGUGGAGAGAGAGGGUCCCCUGCGCUGGGCAGCCCCACCCUCCCCGGGCCCGGCCCUGCCCAGACCACAUCAAGGUCACUUUGGUAGAGAAGGUUCUGGAAAGGCGAACCGCCAGAGCACCUCCAAAGGCGGAGGAAGGCCAUUUGGUAUUUGUUCCUGGUGGCCUGGGCCGCAGGGAGCCCUUUCUGAGGGGGGUGGGGCAGGAACUCUCCGGCUGCCCAUUGCUGUAUUGUCCCUGCUUACUGCCACCCCUAGCAGACUGCACGGUCUCUCAGGUCUCAGGGCAGGAAGUUGUCCUGUCCCUGCUCUGUCCCCUGCCAUGGGGCACAGGCCAGGCCCAGGGUAGAGCAACUGUGAGUGUUUAUUCCCUGACUAAGGAACUCAGGACCUCCGGGGCCUCUCAGGCUCAUCCCUGGGUAAGUGCCCUGCGCAGAGGAGGCAGAGGAGGCAGAGGAGGCAGAGGAGGCAGAGGAGGCCUGAGGUGUGGUGAGGAGCGCGAGCACAUGGUAAUCAGCUCUUAGGCUAACAUUCUUCCCGUUUGUUCAAAGCUGUCCGGUUUUCCCCCUUUUCUGCCCCUCUCAGGGUGUCAUUGGAGAGCCUGAGGCCACAGGGAUCGGUCAGGUGGGCCUGGGCUUCCUGUCCACUUUCCAGGGGAUCCCGAAGGGAGUGGCGAGUCCCAGUAUAACCCAGCAGACAACCAGUGGAGCCCCCAACAUCCCAGCCAAUCCUCCGGCGCCCGGGGCCCGUUCUCUGGGGAACUCCAUCUGCAACAGGCAGGAGCCCGGUGUCAGAGCUAAUAUUUUAUGCAUGGAACUGACUAAAUGGGGACAUUUGGAGACGAAAAUUGCUGUUAAUGCAUCCACACAUCUUCGGAAUAUAUUACAUGUGUGCGGGGGGUGGGAGGCAACAUCGGCCUUAUUUAAUAGCUCCAAUGUAUCCGUCCCCACGCCGCAGCAAUAAAAAGCACGGCGCCCCCCGAGUCUCCCAGGCCACCACCGGGCGGAGCAUGGGGUACAUCAGCCCCCACCUGGGAGUCAGGCGUGAGACAGAUGUCAGCCCAGGGGACCAGGCGCUCGGCAGCGUGCAUGUCCCAAACUCAUUUUAAACCCGAAGAGGGUGACCCCAUACUGCUCGGCGCAGAAUUUCAUUAAAAGCCAAAUUGCUGGUUUAUCUACUGUUUGGAGGAUGAAAGCAAAUAAACAAAGGGCCUCUCUCAUCCGCCAGGCCGAAUGGAAAUGUCUCCUCACAGUGGCAGGGAUGGAGGUGACUGGGGCCACCUCGGGGCACCGCACAGAUCCGGCCUCGGUCCACACACCUGGCAAAUAGGCAUUUUCCUUCCUUGUAAAAACCAGGGUGACUAGGCACCCAGGGCUAAGGUCAGCACGUGGGAUUCAGUCCCUGAAUGUUCACUGCCACCCUGCCGUAGAGCUUCUGGAAGCCAUGGCUUGGACUGUCCAGCCGGCUCAUAGUAGGUGCUCAGCUAAUGCCCGGCUCAAAGCUGGCCACAGACACCAGCACAAAGUAGGUGUUCAAGAUGUGAGGGUAUAUUGAAUCGGAUCUCUUUACCCCCAGGAGGCCCUGGGAGGACGUUUGUGGAAUGAAUAAAUAACAGUGUGCUCUUGGAGGGAAUAAAGAAGCAGAGAAACGAAGAAGAAUUCAGGGAAGAUGGACAUAAAUCUCCACCAAGGCUCUGCCGUCCAGGAAAGACCCCGCGGAGGGAGAGGUGCCAUUUGUCACCGGUGGACAGGCUCGAGGGCCAGGAAGCACACGGGACCGGACACUUGGCAGGGACAUCCCCAAUGGGUGGAGCCUUCGGUCGAUCCCAGCCAUGAGCCGAAAGCUAGACCAGACCACUUCUGCCGGGAGUGACCUGGGCUGGGAGCCCGGCCUGACCGCGGAUCAUCCUUGGGUCUGGCCCUGCUUGCUCCGAGCCCUCUCCUCCCAUCUCCUGCUCCACUGGACUCCACAGUGGCCCCUGCUCCUGGAGAUGGGACCCACAGCGGCCAGACCAGCGCCUUCUCCCGCCUCGCCAGGAAGACAGGCCCCACCCACAGCCACCGCUUAAAGGACCUGACUGAGCGCCCAGGGCGGUCCCUCCGUGUGGGACAGGCUGGACUUCUCUGUGGACUGGGGAGGACUGUGGGCAUGGGGGGGACCCAGGGCGCGGGGAGGCGUCCUGAGUGACAAACUCCAAGGAAAGAGCCACCGACCCCCGACCGGGAAGGACAGAGGGGUCCCGCUCCGCCUUUUCAGCCCCUCGGACUGUUGUCAGCCUGUUUGAAUAAUAAACCCACAAGAUAAAA